rnacentral:misc_RNA from 1 species
UCUCCGUUGGUGAACCAGCGGAGGGAUCAUUACCGAGUUUACAACUCCCAAAUCCCUGUGAACAUACCUGUUUUGUUGCUUCGGCGGUGCCCUCGCUCUCGCGGCGAGGCCCGCCAGAGGACCCAAACAAACUCUUUGACUUCGAUCUAGGAUUAUACUUCUGAGUGAUACAAAAAAUAAAAUCAAAACUUUCAACAACGGAUCUCUUGGUUCUG